GACGGAGGAUGCAAGCGUUAUCCGGAAUGAUUGGGCGUAAAGCGUCCGCAGGUGGCAGUUCAAGUCUGCUGUCAAAGACCGGGGCUUAACUUCGGAAAGGCAGUGGAAACUGAACAGCUAGAGUAUGGUAGGGGCAGAGGGAAUUCCUGGUGUAGCGGUGAAAUGCGUAGAGAUCAGGAAGAACAUCGGUGGCGAAGGCGCUCUGCUGGACCAUAACUGACACUCAGGGACGAAGCUAGGGAGCGAAAUGGG
rnacentral:rRNA from 1 species